GCAAGUCGAACGAGACCUUCGGGUCUAGUGGCGCACGGGUGCGUAACGCGUGGGAACCUGCCCAAAGGUGCGGAAUAACUCAGGGAAACUUGAGCUAAUACCGCAUGAUGCCGAAAGGCCAAAGAUUUAUCGCCUUUGGAUGGGCCCGCGUCGGAUUAGCUUGUUGGUGGGGUAAUGGCCCACCAAGGCAAUGACCAAUAGCCGGCCUGAGAGGGUGAAC
rnacentral:rRNA from 1 species